AGGGUUCAUACUGAAAACAGUGUCUUUAUUCAUUUUGAUGCAUCAAUACAAAAACGCAGACAAGCUUCCUGAUUGGCUCGGGAAAACGCUCGUUAGGCUGCCUCUCGCCACAACCCGCCAAUCACCAAGAGGGUAAGAGGCGGGUCUAUGCAGCCAAAGGGACAUUACAUUACCAGCCUACCACGGCAUGAGACAACCCGCGAACCAAUCAGAUGCUUUCGGCAGCAUCUCCUAAUCUUUUUAUAGAUUUUUUAAAAAAUCAAACAGGAAAAAGAAAAUAUAACCCCAUGUUAUUAAAAGAAACCGACAACGGUUGUCAUGACAACCAAACAAUCAUUUCUCCAUUAGGUCCAUGUCCUAUUACAUCUAUGUCAGCGGUUUGUUUCAAGUGUUUGGUGGUCUGUAUCGACAUCUCUGCCUGCCUGACAUACAGAGUUAAUAUCAUUACUAAAUAAAAUACUGGACUAUGUGGCCGGCAAAAAUACAGUGAGGAAAGAGAGGGGGGAUAGACUGAAGGGAAGAGAAGAUGUGCCGGGAGAGAAACAUGGCUAGAUACACAGUAGCUAGAAACAGAAUCCAAUGGGACACAAGAAGAGGGGGAGCAGGGUUAGUUUAGUAGGCUGGGAGGAGAGGGAGAAGAGGGGGAGCAGGGUUAGUUUAGUAGGCUGGGAGGAGAGGUGGAGCAGGGUUAGUUUAGUAGGCUGGGAGGAGAGGGAGAAGAGGGGGAGCAGGGUUAGUUUAGUAGGCUGGGAGGAGAGGUGGAGCAGGGUUAGUUUAGUAGGCUGGGAGGAGAGGUGGAGCAGGGUUAGUUUAGUAGGCUGGGAGGAGAGGUGGAGCAGGGUUAGUUUAGUAGGCUGGGAGGAGAGGUGGAGCAGGGUUAGUUUAGUAGGCUGGGAGGAGAGGUGGAGCAGGGUUAGUUUAGUAGGCUGGGAGGAGAGGGAGAA